GGAGGUCCAGCCUGCCCAGUGACUACGGGUUCAACGGCCGCGGUAUUUUGACCGUGCAAAGGUAGCGCAAUCACUUGUCUCUUAAAUAGAGACCUGUAUGAAUGGCUAGACGAGGGCUUAACUGUCUCCCCCCUCCAGUCAGUGAAAUUGAUCUAUCCGUGCAGAAGCGGGUAUAAUUAUACAAGACGAGAAGACCCUUUGGAGCUUAAGGUACAAAAUUCAACCACGUUAAACGACUCUGUAGAAAGCAAGAACUUAGUGGCGGAUGAAAUUUUACCUUCGGUUGGGGCGACCACGGAGGAGAAAGAAGCCUCCGAGUGGACUGGGCUAAACCCCAAAGCUAAGAGAGACAUCUCUAAGCCGCAGAACAUCUGACCAAGAAUGAUCCGACUGAAAGGCCGAUCAACGAACCAAGUUACCCUAGGGAUAACAGCGCAAUCCUCUCCCAGAGUCCAUAUCGACGAGGGGGUUUACGACCUCGAUGUUGGAUCAGGACAUCCUAAUGGUGCAGCCGCUAUUAAGGGUUCGUUUGUUCAACGAUUAAAGUCCUACGUGAUCUGAGUUCAGACCGG
rnacentral:rRNA from 1 species